CCUCACUGUCCAGUAUCCACAGCCCACAUCGCCGCUGUCCGCUAUGAUCCGUUCAUCCACCCCAUGUCCCACAGGCUCCGCUUUUCACCCACACUCCUCUCCUCCCGGGCAAGCCUGCCAGUCCCACAGGGACAGACACCCACCUAUACACUUCUACCCAGGUGAGAGCUGCGUUCAAAUGACUGAUAUGUGAAACCAUUCUAUCCAUGGAUCAUGUAUAUUUAUCUAAAAAUGUUUAAUCUUUAAUCAUCUAAAUAUACUGGCAUCAAAUGAAACAUUCAGAAGCCUAUAAUCUGUAAUUCACUUUUCACAUUUUAGUUAGAAUAGUUCCUGCUCCUGCAAAUUCUUACAUAUGUGCUUCACUUUACAUCUUCACAUCAAUAAUGUGAUUUUAUAGUAGGAAUGGACUAGAACAAGAAAGUCUGGAUCUGAAUCUAGUUCAUGUCAACAUUCAUGAGGUGUCUAGAUCUGGGUUUUGGGUUCAGGCCCAUCACUGCUUUGAAAUUUGAAAUUUGAUUUAGUGUCUAAUAAUACUUUGUUGAAGAUUGCCAGCAUUUCCAUUAUAAACCCACUUAGGAAGUUUAUAAUUCAGCUAUAAAAAUAUUUGUCCUGGGCUAAAUCAUGUAAUAUAAAAGUCCAAAUGAAAACAUGGUUUUGCCAUUUGAACAACAGCAGUACAGAACAACUUUGAAGAUUACUCCUUUCAAGCAGUUGUGUAACUCAGAAAUAAAUGUAAUAAAAAUGAAGUUUGGCAAGUGAUUAA